rnacentral:tRNA from 1 species
UUCCUGGUAGUCCAGUGGCUAAGACGUUGAGCUCCCAGUGCAAGAGCCUAAGUUCAAUUCCUGGUCAGGGAA